GAUCUCCCCCUCUGGAGAGAUCUCUCUGGGGCCUCCAAAUGUUGUGGCAUGAUCAAUUCUAAGACCCACGGAGCCAAUUGAGAUAAAUUAUGAGCCUUUAUUAG
rnacentral:miRNA from 1 species